UACAGAGGUCUCAAGCGUUGUUCGGAUUCAUUGGGCGUAAAGGGUGCGUAGGCGGCGCGGUAAGUCGGGUGUGAAAUCUUGGAGCUUAACUCCGAAACUGCAUUCGAUACUGCCGUGCUUGAGGACUGGAGAGGAGACUGGAAUUUACGGUGUAGCGGUGAAAUGCGUAGAUAUCGUAAGGAAGACCAGUGGCGAAGGCGGGUCUCUGGACAGUUCCUGACGCUGAGGCACGAAGGCCCAAGGGAGCAAACGGG
rnacentral:rRNA from 1 species